rnacentral:rRNA from 1 species
CACGUAGGGCGCAAGCGUUGUCCGGAAUUAUUGGGCGUAAAGAGCUCGUAGGCGGUCUGUUGCGUCCGCUGUGAAAACCCGGGGCUUAACCCUGGGCUGGCAGUGGAUACGGACAGACUAGAGGUAGGUAGGGGAGAAUGGAAUUCCCGGUGUAGCGGUGAAAUGUGUAGAGAUCGGGAGGAACACCGGUGGCGAAGGCGGGUCUCUGGGCAUCUCCUGACGCUAGGCGCGAAAGCGUGGGGAGCAAACGGG